GCCUCGGUGGUGUAGUGGUAGCGCACGUCCCCAGUACGGAUAAAUUGCGGGUUUGACUCCCACCUGAGGUC